AAAGUCAGCCUCCACCCUUUCAUCGGUCUCCUUCUCCUCUCCGAUCCUGAAGAAAGGUAUUGCUGAGAAGCAAAGCACAAAUUGGAAGAUUCAGAAUGAGCUGCAGACAAGUUGUGGCAUUGGAUGGCCUUCUCUUUGAAUGCCAAUAUCUGAACCUGUUGCCAUGUAGGUUUAACUCACUGCAUGAAGAUCAUGGGACCUUUCCAUUUUCAGGAGCCAAUGGAAAUGUCAUGUGACUGAAACUUUGACAAAAGAACUGAAGUUUCUGACCUCGUGCUAUGAUGGGAUCCUGGAGGCUCAAGUCUAGUUUGGCUGUUAAUCUAGGACCCAGUAGAUGCAGAACAAGGAUCUGGUGUGGCAAGAAGGAUGACUGAAGCGCAGUGGGUACUGGCAUGAAGGAUUGGAACUCACAUAGAGCUGUCCCUGUCAGGUGGCCAGUGAAUUUACAGCUGCAAGUGUAGCUAAGAACAAGGGUGACUGUCUGAAGCAGUGGGAAGAUGCAACUGGCGAUGAUCGGUGGAGGAUCCUCUGAGUUGGCCCGCAUCAUUAGGACUAAAGCCGGAAGCAAGAGGGGUAGGAGAAGUGGUGUCUUUGCGGUGGAUUAGUAGGUCGUCAUCUGGAUCGGUCUGGCAGUUUGUGUUACUUGCACAAGUGAAUGCAGGAGAUGAAGAGGAAGGUCCAAGAAAACAUGGCAGAGAACAUUGGAGACUGAGCACCAACAACAACUAGCACAAUGGUUGUUCCAUGAGGAUGGGGAGUGCUGGGUCUACGAUGAGCCUCUACUGAAAAGAACUGGAUCACAGAGGCACUAAGGCCAAAGAUGCAGACCUUGGAGUCUUAAUAAGAACUCUUUUGCAAACCACUUCUUAUCCAAGCCUUGGAAUGACUGACGAUUGAACUUGAUCACAGCUUUGCAUUUUCAAAGUAAAAAUUUAAUGAAAUCAAGAUGAAACAUCUACAAUGUAAAAAAUAAUAACCCUUGUUUUGCCAACCCCACAUCCUCCACCUCUCCAUCCCCUGAACGACUAAAAAAAGCAUGACAAAAACAGUACCAAUGCCCUUCGGCUACACAAACAAGUCCUCACAAUCUUGCAGGAGGAUCCCUCAAGGGUCUGUUCUUUUCCUCGAGGGGGCGGGUGUUUUGAUCGAACAAAUCUGUUUAUAUAUAGAUACUUAUGAUGAAUAUAUAUAUAUAUAUAUAUAUAUAUUCUCUUUUUUAAAUUUUAUUUAUCUUUCUUUCUGGCAGUAGUAAAUAUUUAAGGAUAUGAACUCUAUGGCAAUACAUCAGGAAUCAUUCCUUUUCCUUUCUACAUUCGUGCCCUCUCAAGUUCGUUGACAUUCUCUCCCCAUGUACUAACUCCAUCUAGUGCAGGAGUGUCAAACUCAUUUUGCCCCGGGGGCCACAUUCUGUCUUCAACGAGGUCCAGAGGGCCGCAUUGAAAAUAUGUCAUUUCCUCACCGUCAUUUUUUUUGUUGAAUUUCUGAUGCUCCCUGACUGUCUGGCUUUCAUUUUGGUGAUUUAUUAGCGAGCUGGACACAGUCAAGAAACUGUAAAUGUAGGUCCAUUAUCAUUUCAACACAGUGUAGAUUUUAUUUUUGUAAUUUUAAAGUAUAUUGAGGUUUUUUUUCACCUACGGGCCAGAUGUUUGACACCCCUGGACUAGUGUAUGUUUAUCUGCUCAAGAUGACCAGAAGAGGGACCCAAGAAGUCUGCAUUUGCAAGAUAGACAAAGGUGGAGUCGAGGAAGAGGACUUGUCACCAUGUUUAUAAUUUUCCCUUGUGGCAUUUAUGAACAAAUGUAUGUGUUUUGAUUUGUUUUUCAGGUGAUUGGGUAACAUGCUAAGCCGCUUUAAUGAGAGGUUUUAUUGAGUGCUAAAUUUGGUUUAGUGUCACGAUCGUCUUGACUUUGAAGAGAGGACCAAAACGCAGCGUGUGAGAAAUACAUUCUCUUUUUAUUAGAGAAGAGCAACGAACAAAACAAAACAACAAACUGACGACCGUGAAGCUAUAUAAACAAAAUGGUGCUGACACUGACCACUACACAAUGACAUAGACAAUUACCCAUAAACACCUAAAGCCUAUGGCUGCCUUAAAUAUGGCUCCCAAUCAGAGACAACAAUAAACAGCUGUCUCUGAUUGAGAACCAAAUCAGGCAACCAUAGACUUUCCUAAACACCUACACUGAACACAACCCCAUACAUACUAAAAACCCCUUAAACAAUACACACACCCUAAACUAGACAAAACACACAAAGACAACCCACCCCAACUCACGCCCUGACCAACUAAAUAAAUAAAAGAAAAAGGAACAAUAGGUCAGGAACGUGACAUUUAGGGUACAAAAUGUAAUACCAGGUUAGAUUAUGUCCAGUGGUGGUGUUAAAUAGGAGAGAAUAAUUGUCUUGUUUCUGCCUUUAAUUGAAAGGUUCAUUCCCCAUUCAGUGCCACAUCAUUUUAAACUAAAUAAGCAGAUGUUUGGAUAAGUACCUAAAAGAAUAUCUCUAUCUUUCACUUGAGCAUAUGAAUCAUAUGACUGUGGAUAUUCUUCAGCGAACCCAUUAUGUGAAAUAUUGUCAGCUAAAGACAGAUCUAUUCCUUUUCCCCCCAGAAGACGUUUUAUCAGUAAGCAAGGCCAGGUAAUACAGUACAUGAAUUUACAUUUUGGUUAUUGGAAAGGAAUUGUGACCAAAACCAUUUGUAGCGAUAGAGCACAUUCCUGCUGAAUACACGCACUCAAUGAUUGCCUGUGGUGAGAAACUCAACAAGUUCACUUAACCGAAAUGUAAAGGUAGAGUAUCAUCCUUUUAUCUCUAAAGUAGAUAAAUACUGUAUCUUCUUAUAUAAUAGAAUUUACAGACGUUACAAACUCAAGCCAUUUUUCUUUUCAUGUUAUGACUUUGUAAAUGAAUAUUGAUUCAAGGCCUUGCCAUACAUUUCAGUAUCGCUUCAAAAGAGCAAUCGGAACAAAAUGUAUUUUUUAUUUACUUUGAAUCAUAACCAUUGAUUGUAUUAGAUUUUCAUGUUUAUUGAUGCAUAAUAUUAAAUCUCCAUGAGUUUA